CUACGGGGGGCAGCAGUGGGGAAUAUUGCACAAUGGGCGCAAGCCUGAUGCAGCAACGCCGCGUGAGGGAUGAAGGCCUUCGGGUUGUAAACCUCUUUUAGCAGGGAAGAAGCGAAAGUGACGGUACCUGCAGAAAAAGCACCGGCUAACUACGUGCCAGCAGCCGCGGUAAUACGUAGGGUGCAAGCGUUGUCCGGAAUUAUUGGGCGUAAAGAGCUCGUAGGCGGUUUGUCACGUCUGCUGUGAAAAUCCAAGGCUCAACCGUGGACUUGCAGUGGGUACGGGCAGGCUAGAGUGCGGUAGGGGAGAUGGGAAUUCCUGGUGUGGCGGUGGAAUGCGCAGAUAUCAGGAGGAACACCAAUGGCGAAGGCACAUCUCUGGGCCGUAACUGACGCUGAGGAGCGAAAGCGUGGGGAGCGAACAGGAUUAGAUACCCGCGUAGUC
rnacentral:rRNA from 1 species